AUUUCAAACGAGUAAAUAUGACACGAGUUGCAAGCAUCGUCAUCGACAGCUGCUGACCGUUAGGAUCUUGUAUCUUUUGUUUGGGAAAAGCGUGCCGAUCUCUGUGGAAUUGGAUAGAUGAGUGAGUGGCCGGUAGCCCAAACAAUUGAUUGCGCCGAAUGCGGUUACCAGAUGACUUUAUCCAUUUAGCAACGAGCCCCCCGCCUGGCGGAGUAUCAGCAAUAGCUGGAUGCCAAAUUCCCCAUGGGAUCUGAUCACCAGGCCUUUAGGCUGUCAACACGAUUUGGCCAAAACAAGAAGUGGCCCACAAUUGCAGCCAAAAAUGGAGUUGACAGCGAGGGUAGAAUAGGCAGGAUAUCUGAAAAGGAACCUCUGUCAGCUGGAGACGUCCUGGGUACUGUUGUAAAAAUUGCAGCUACUGCGGAAGCAACAAUGAAGAGGGCUUGUCCUACUAAAUGGCACAAGAAAUGCCCACACUUUGCACCCAAAUUGUACAUCUGUAUUUCCGUCAGUAUCCUUGCAUCUGUUUGUAUGUGUGUGCGUGUGCGAUAAUCCCGGCCAGAGAAUUUGCACACAUGCAAAUUACAUGUACACUGAGGAAAAUGAUAAGACACUUUUCAAUUAUCCAUAUAAGAACGAUCCUUAAAGC
ensembl:ncRNA lncRNA:CR45449 long non-coding RNA:CR45449